AUGGAGGGCGGCUGCGGCGGGACGGAGGGCGGUUGCGGCAAGAAGCAGCAGCCGCGCCAGUUUGGGCGGUCGCUGACGUACCACCACCACCAGGGGCACCGGCUGCUGCCCCGGUGGCGGCGGCCGCAGCAGCUGGCGGACGAGCCCCGCGCGCGGCCGCAGGCGGUGGUGCUCUACACGACGUCGCUGCGCGGGGUGCGGCGCACCUUCGCGGACUGCUCCGCGGCGCGCGCCAUCCUGCGGGGCUCCCGCGUCGCCGUCGACGAGCGCGACGUGUCCAUGGACGCGGCGCUCCGGCGCGAGCUGCAGGCGCUGCUGGCCGCGCGGGGCCGCGCCUUCUCGCUCCCGCGGCUCUUCAUCGGGGGCCGGCUCGUGGGCGGCGCCGACGAGGUCCGGCAGCUGCACGAGUCCGGCCAGCUCCGGCGCCUCCUGGAGGGCGCCGCCGGGCAGGAUCCGGCCUUCGUCUGCGACGCCUGCGGCGGGGUCCGCUUCGUCCCCUGCCCGGCCUGCGCCGGCAGCCGCAAGGUGUUCGACGAGGAGCAGGACCGCGCCCUCCGCUGCGCCGACUGCAACGAGAACGGGCUGGUGCGCUGCGCCAACUGCUCCUCCUGA
rnacentral:rRNA from 1 species